rnacentral:tRNA from 1 species
GGUGUAGCUUAAGUGGGAGAGUGCAUACUUAGUAUGCAUGAGAUCCUGGGUUCAAUCCCCAGUACC